rnacentral:rRNA from 1 species
AUUGAACGCUGGCGGCAUGCCUUACACAUGCAAGUCGAACGGCAGCACGGGUGCUUGCACCUGUUGGCGAGUGGCGAACGGGUGAGUAAUACAUCGGAACAUGUCCUGUAGUGGGGGAUAGCCCGGCGAAAGCCGGAUUAAUACCGCAUACGAUCUACGGCUGAAAGCGGGGGCCCUUCGGGCCUCGCGCUAUAGGGUUGGCCGAUAGCUGAUUAGCUAGUUGGUGGGGUAAAGGCCUACCAAGGCGACGAUCAGUAUCUGGUCUGAGAGGACGACCAGCCACACUGGGACUGAGACACGGCCCAGACUCCUACGGGAGGCAGCAGUGGGGAAUUUUGGACAAUGGGCGAAAGCCUGAUCCAGCAAUGCCGCGUGUGUGAAGAGGGCCUUCGGGUUUUAAAGCACUUUUGUCCGGAAAGAAAUCCUUGGCUCUAAUACAGUCGGGGGAUGACGGUACCGGAAGAAUAAGCACCGGCUAACUACGUG